rnacentral:rRNA from 1 species
UACGGGGGGGGCAAGCGUUGUUCGGAAUUACUGGGCGUAAAGGGCUCGUAGGCGGCCAACUAAGUCGGAUGUGAAAUCCCCGGGCUUAACCUGGGAACUGCAUUGGUGACUGCAUCGCUCGAGUAUGGCAGAGGGGGGUAGAAUUCCACGUGUAGCAGUGAAAUGCGUAGAGAUGUGGAGGAAUACCGAUGGCGAAGGCAGCCCCCUGGGUCAAUACUGACGCUCAUGCACGAAAGCGUGGGGAGCAAACAGG